rnacentral:rRNA from 1 species
AGCGAACGCUGGCGGCAGGCUUAACACAUGCAAGUCGAGCGGGCAUCCUUGUGGUGUCCGCGGCAGACGGGUGAGUAACGCGUGGGAACGUGCCCUUCGGUUCGGAAUAACUCAGGGAAACUUGAGCUAAUACCGGAUACGCCCUUUUGGGGAAAGGUUUACUGCCGAAGGAUCGGCCCGCGUCUGAUUAGCUAGUUGGUGAGGUUACGGCUCACCAAGGCGACGAUCAGUAGCUGGUCUGAGAGGAUGAUCAGCCACACUGGGACUGAGACACGGCCCAGACUCCUACGGGAGGCAGCAGUGGGGAAUAUUGGACAAUGGGGGCAACCCUGAUCCAGCCAUGCCGCGUGAGUGAUGACAGCCUUAGGGUUGUAAAGCUCUUUUCUCCGGGACGAUAAUGACGGUACCGGAGGAAUAAGCCCCGGCUAACUUCGUG